GUGUUGGUGUGCACGUAUUGGUGUGCAGGUGUUGGUGUGGAUGUUGGUGUGGACAUUGGUGUGCAGGUGCUGGUGUGGAUGUUGGUGUGCAGGUGCUGGUGUGGACGUUGGUGUGCGGGUGUUGGUGUGCGUGUUGGUGUGCAGGUGUGGGUGUUGGUGUUGGUGUGCAGGUGUUGGUGUGGAUGUUGGUGUGGGUGUUGGUGUGCACGUAUUGGUGUGCAGGUGUUGGUGUGCAGGUAUUGGUGUGGAUGUUGGUGUGCAGGUGUUGGUGUGCGGGUGUUGGUGUGGGUGUUCGUGUGGGGGUGUUGGUGUACAGGUGUUGGUGUGGAUGUUGGUGUGGGUGUUGGUGUGCAGGUGUUGGUGUGGAUAUUGGUGUGCAGGUGUUAGUGUGCAG
rnacentral:lncRNA from 10 species